GAAAUGCGAUAAUUAAUGUGAAUUGCAGAAUUCAGUGAAUCAUCGAGUCUUUGAACGCACAUUGCGCCCCCUGGUAUUCCGGGGGGCAUGCCUGUCCGAGCGUCAUUGCUGCCCUCAAGCACGGCUUGUGUGUUGGGCCCCGUCCCGGGUACUCUGGUACCGGGGACGGGCCCGAAAGGCAGCGGCGGCACCGUGUCCGGUCCUCGAGCGUAUGGGGCUUUGUCACCCGCUCUUGUAGGUCCGGCCGGCGGCCUGCCCAACCAACCAAAAUCUUUUUUCAGGUUGACCUCGGAUCAGGUAGGGAUACCCGCUGAACUUAA
rnacentral:misc_RNA from 1 species